rnacentral:ncRNA from 1 species
AUUUUUUAAGCGCCAGAACUUUCUAUGAGCGGAAAUUUUUUGAAAGUUGACGAGGAGAAGAGUGAUCGAAAAUUCGGCGGAUACUCUUUCGUGUUCUUUGGACGCGUAAUAUAUUGGCAAACCUAGAGGGUGACUUCUAGAACAAAUUCAAUAUAAC